rnacentral:sRNA from 1 species
CUAUGAUGAAAGCAGCCAUCAGUGAGACGGAAGAUAUGCCAAUGUUUGAGCCUAAAAUGACACGCUCUAAACUGAAGGAAGUAGUGGAAAAAGGAGUGGUAAUUCCAACAUGGAAUAUUUCACCAAUUAAGAAGGCCAAUGAAAUUAAGCCUCCUCAGUUUGUGGAUAUCCACCUUGAAGAAGAUGAUUCCUCAGAUGAAGAAUACCAGCCGGAUGAUGAAGAAGAAGAUGAAACUGCUGAAGAGAGCUUAUUGGAAAGUGAUGUUGAAAGCACUGCUUCAUCUCCACGUGGGGCAAAGAAAUCCAGAUUGAGGCAGUCUUCUGAGAUGACUGAAACAGAUGAGGAGAGUGGCAUAUUAUCAGAGGCUGAGAAAGUCACCACACCAGCCAUCAGGCACAUCAGUGCUGAGGUAGUGCCCAUGGGGCCCCCGCCCCCUCCAAAGCCAAAACAGACCAGAGAUAGUACUUUCAUGGAGAAGUUACAUGCGGUAGAUGAGGAGCUGGCUUCCAGUCCAGUCUGCAUGGAUUCUUUCCAGCCCAUGGAUGACAGUCUCAUUGCAUUUCGAACGCGUUCUAAGAUGCCCCUGAAGGAUGUUCCCCUGGGCCAACUAGAGGCAGAGCUCCAAGCUCCAGACAUCACUCCAGAUAUGUAUGACCCCAAUACAGCAGAUGAUGAGGACUGGAAGAUGUGGCUAGGGGGACUUAUGAAUGAUGAUGUGGGGAAUGAAGAUGAAGCAGACGAUGAUGAUGAUCCAGAAUAUAAUUUCCUGGAAGACCUUGAUGAACCAGACACAGAGGAUUUCCGGACUGACCGGGCAGUGAGAAUCACCAAAAAGGAAGUAAAUGAGCUGAUGGAAGAGCUGUUUGAAACUGUGAGUAAUGAUCCUCAAGUGAGAACAUGGGAUUGUAAGUCGGUUCUCCAGCAAGAUGUGUCAUUUUGUCUCUGUGAUGCUCCCUCUAGGAGAGGGGGUCUGACUGAACCAAUUCUCCUUUUAGUCCACCUGGGAAAGAAUAUAAUGACAAGGGAAUUUUGCUACCUACUAGACUCUUGAUUAUACACAUGUAUGUUGUUCUUAUUAACAUUUUCUUUGAAACUUCUUUUUUUUUGACAGGGGUCUUGCUCCGUCACCCAAGCUAGAGUGCAGUGGUGAAAUUACAGCUCACAGCAGCUUUGACCUUCUAGGCUCAAGCAGUCCUCCGUAUAAGCCUCCUGAGUAGCUGGGACACACCAACACACCCAGCUAAUUAUUUUAUUUGUAGAGACAGGGUCUUACAACAUUGCCCAGGUUGUUCUGGAACUUCUGGGCUCAAGCAAUUUUCCUGCCUUGGGCCUCCCAGUGCUGGAAUUAUAGGUGUGAGCCAGCAUGCCUGGCCCCUGGAAAACUUUUGAUGACUUCGCCUACUGUCAUUUGGUGUGUCCUUAAAGAUUGUCAACUAGUUUUAAACUACUUUGUGCACAAAUAAUUAGCUUUUUCAUAAAUUUGUUUCAAAAGAUUUUUCGUUUUAAAAGAUUGAUCAUUUUGAAGCUGAGUGCGGUGGCUCACGCUUGUAAUCCCAGCACUUUGGGAGGCCACAGCAGGUGGAUCAUCUGAGGUCAGGAGUUUGAGACCAGCCUGGCCAACAUGAUGAAACCCUGUCUCUAUUAAAAAUACAAAAAUUAGGCAUGGUGGCGGGCACCUGUAGUCACGGUUACUGCAGAGGCUGAGGCAGGAAAAUCGCUUGAACCUGGGAGGCGGAGGUUGCAGUAAGCCCAGAUCGGGCCACUGCACUCCAGCCUGGACAAUAGAGCAAGACUGCAAGACUCUUUGUCUCAAAAAAAAAAA